rnacentral:rRNA from 1 species
UACGGAGGGUGCAAGCGUUAUCCGGAUUCACUGGGUUUAAAGGGUGCGUAGGAGGGCAGGUAAGUCAGUGGUGAAAUCUCCAAGCUUAACUUGGAAACUGCCGUUGAUACUAUCUGUCUUGAAUACCGUGGAGGUGAGCGGAAUAUGUCAUGUAGCGGUGAAAUGCUUAGAUAUGACAUAGAACACCAAUUGCGAAGGCAGCUCGCUACACGAAUAUUGACGCUGAGGCACGAAAGCGUGGGGAUCAAACAGG